rnacentral:rRNA from 1 species
UGGGGAAUUUUGCACAAUGGGGGAAACCCUGAUGCAGCGACGCCGCGUGAUGUAGAAGGCUUUCGGGUUGUAAAAAUCUUUUCUAUGGGAAGAAAAUGACAGUACCAUAGGAAUAAGGACCGGCUAAUUACGUGCCAGCAGCCGCGGUAAUACGUAAGGUCCGAGCGUUGUCCGGAAUCAUUGGGCGUAAAGGGUACGUAGGCGGGUAAGCAAGUUAGAAGUGAAAUCCUAUAGCUCAAAUAUAGUAAGCUUUUAAAACUGCUCAUCUUGAGUUAUGGAAGGGAAAGUGGAAUUCCUAGUGUAGCGGUGAAAUGCGCAGAUAUUAGGAGGAAUACCGGUGGCGAAGGCGACUUUCUGGCCAUAACCUGACGCUGAGGUACGAAAGCGUGGGUAGCAAACAGG